UACUGGUUAGCGCUUGUGGUUAGCGCUUCGGACUUGUAACCUCAGGGUUGCCGGUUUGAACCCCGACCAGUAG
rnacentral:tRNA from 1 species